GACGAACGCUGGCGGCGUGCUUAACACAUGCAAGUCGAACGGUAAGGCUCCAGCUUGCUGGGGUACACGAGUGGCGAACGGGUGAGUAACACGUGGGUGACCUGCCCUGCACUUCGGGAUAAGCCUGGGAAACUGGGUCUAAUACCGGAUAGGACCGCACCGUGAGGGUGUGGUGGAAAGUUUUUUCGGUGUGGGAUGGGCCCGCGGCCUAUCAGCUUGUUGGUGGGGUAAUGGCCUACCAAGGCGGCGACGGGUAGCCGGCCUGAGAGGGUGGACGGCCACAUUGGGACUGAGAUACGGCCCAGACUCCUACGGGAGGCAGCAGUGGGGAAUAUUGCACAAUGGGCGGAAGCCUGAUGCAGCGACGCCGCGUGGGGGAUGACGGCCUUCGGGUUGUAAACUCCUUUCACCAUCGACGAAGGGUUUCUGACGGUAGAUGGAGAAGAAGCACCGGCUAACUACGUG
rnacentral:rRNA from 1 species